GGGGGGGGGACCUCAGUCGUUUAGCUCUCUUUUCCUCUAAAAUCACCAUUGUGUAUCUUACUUUACAAAAUCGUUGAUAUCACCUCCUUUUGGGGGGUCAGCCUGGGUUUGUAGGCAAGGUUCAGUAUAGUUGCCUGUGUUUAUUACUAUAUUCUAUGCAUGGAUCCCAAAUGUCUUUAUAACUCCCAUAAGUGCUUUGUCUCAGUGUUCUAAUUUCCUCUAAUUUUUUAAUUUCCUCCAUGGCCAUCCACCAUUCUUGUACAGUGGGAGGAAUUCUACUCUUCCAUUUUUCGGGAAUUAAGGCUUUGGCUGCUUGGACCAUAAACAGUGUCAGGUACCAUUGUUGGAUGCGAGUCAGGUGGAUUGCAACAUAAUACAGGUUAACUGAAGACAGCAAGUGUGAAAGUGACAAGUCAGAGGAUUGUUCAUUCUUGUACUGCUUCUAACCUGAAUCGAGAUCCUGUCAAAUUUUGCCUAUGUCUAUCUUGUUUCUGAUGUAAGUUCAAUAAGAGUAAUUGUUUGUUGACCAGUCAUUUCCAUCUUUUGAUAGAUGGUGGCAGAGCACCCAUCCAGUGCAUGGCAAUGUUUUUUCUUGCACAGAAAAUUUAGGAUUGGAAUCUAUUAAUAGAAUAAAUGGUCAUUAUGAGGACUCCAAUAUUACAAGGCAGGAUCACAUCAUGUGAUAAAAGGUGGUUGGUGAUGCAUUGCAUCAGGGGCAAGAGGGGUCAGGUCUCCUCCCAAUAAUUUCUGGCCUACUUGGUGUAAUAUACAUAUUCAUCUAGGGGAUGUCAGCAAGCACUGAUGCAUUUCCAUGUUUGAUAAGAUUAUUUUAUGACUCUCACAAAACAAUUUCAUAAGAGAUUUUCAGCAAAUGAAGGCAUAAGUGAUCAUGUAAACGUAUCAAAGUAAGAAUGUGUUUUUAUGGUCAGGUCUUUCUACGGCAGAUAUAUAUAUAGAUAUAUGGCAAAUGUGGAAUUUAUAAUAUAUUUACAAAAAGAAAACUUACAUUCCUCCUUCCAGUUGAGGUCCAACCUUUUCAUACAUUUUGAUCAAGCGACUGCAGUUAUAUACAAACAUUCCAUCAAGUUCUCUUUGCUCAAUAUUCACACCAAAGAUAAAAUUUAACUCUUUUGGUUCUUUGAGGGCUCUGCAUAUAGGAAACACAAAUAUAUUUCCGGAACAACAAUUCAGAAACAAAAAUAUAAAUACAUUUAUUUCAGUGAUUAAGAAUACAUCUAUUCUACAAACAGUAAAUGUUUAACAUAUGGCAUUCCUUUCCUGACAGUAAAGUACAUUGUAGGCAGUAAAUGGGUUAAAAGAAACCUUAUGAAUUCUUUAGGGCUGAUGCCUUCCUUAACCCUCCACACUUCUUUCGCACUAGAGCUGGGCGAGAGGGGCCAAAUUUAAGACCAGUGUCAGAAUUGUGAUAAAACUAUAACUACUAUAUAACUACUUUGGUGCCAUCAGCAUACUCACUGCUGGAGAAAAAAAAUUGUGAUUUUAAUGGUUACAAUAAAGGUUAAAUUUAAACAAUCCACAGAUUGUAUGUUCUUUACAUUUCUUCUUUGUUAAUCUGAAUAUUUAAACAUAAAAGGUGCACUACUUGAGGGAUUUGUUGCCGAGGUUUUUUUACCUAUACCCAGACUGUCAAACACCAAAUCAUUUCUAAAAGUUCUCUUUAGGGCCAAUUAUUGAUUGAUGUAGUUUGAUACAAUACAAAAAAAAUCCUC